GACGAACGCUGGCGGCGUGCUUAACACAUGCAAGUCGAACGGAAAGGCCCUGCUUUUGUGGGGUGCUCGAGUGGCGAACGGGUGAGUAACACGUGAGUAACCUGCCCUUGACUUUGGGAUAACUUCAGGAAACUGGGGCUAAUACCGGAUAGGAGCUCCUGCGGGAGGGUGGGGGUUGGAAAGUUUCGGCGGUUGGGGAUGGACUCGCGGCUUAUCAGCUUGUUGGUGGGGUAGUGGCUUACCAAGGCUUUGACGGGUAGCCGGCCUGGGAGGGUGACCGGCCACAUUAGGACUGCGGUACGGACCAGACUCCUACGGGAGGCAGCGGUGGGAAGUAUUGCACAAUGGGCGGAAGCCUGAUGCAGAGGCGCCGCGUGCGGAAUGACGGCCUUCGGGUUGUGAACCGCUUUCGCCUGUGACGAAGCGUGAGUGACGGUAAUGGAUAAAGAAGCACCGGCUAACUACGUG
rnacentral:rRNA from 1 species